CCUACGGGAGGCAGCAGUGAGGAAUAUUGGUCAAUGGGCGGAAGCCUGAACCAGCCAAGUCGCGUGAGGGAAUAAGGCCCUACGGGUCGUAAACCUCUUUUGCCGGGGAGCAAGGGCGGGGACGUGUCCCGGCCCGGAGAGUACCCGGAGAAAAAGCAUCGGCUAACUCCGUGCCAGCAGCCGCGGUAAUACGGAGGAUGCGAGCGUUAUCCGGAUUUAUUGGGUUUAAAGGGUGCGCAGGCGGUCUGUUAAGUCAGCGGUCAAAGCCCGGGGCUCAACCCCGGUCCGCCGUUGAAACUGGCAGU
rnacentral:rRNA from 1 species